GCAUUGGUGGUUCAGUGGGAGGAUUCUCACCUUCGUACAGGAGACCUGGGUUCAAUUCCCGGCCAAUACG
rnacentral:tRNA from 1 species